rnacentral:rRNA from 1 species
GACGAACGCUGGCGGCGUGCUUAACACAUGCAAGUCGAACGAUGAAGCCGGAGCUUGCUCUGGUGAAUUAGUGGCGAACGGGUGAGUAACACGUGAGUAACCUGCCCUUGACUCUGGGAUAACUGCGGGAAACUGUAGCUAAUACCGGAUACGACCCUCGGAGGCAUCUCCUGGGGGUGGAAAGAAUUUCGGUCAAGGAUGGACUCGCGGCCUAGGAGCUAGUUGGUGAGGUAAAGGCUCACCAAGGCGACGACGGGUAGCCGGCCUGAGAGGGUGACCGGCCACACUGGGACUGAGACACGGCCCAGACUCCUACGGGAGGCAGCAGUGGGGAAUAUUGCACAAUGGGCGCAAGCCUGAUGCAGCAACGCCGCGUGAGGGAUGACGGCCUUCGGGUUGUAAACCUCUUUUAGCAGGGAAGAAGCGAAAGUGACGGUACCUGCAGAAAAAGCACCGGCUAACUACGUGCCAGCAGCCGCAGUAA